rnacentral:rRNA from 1 species
GACGAACGCUGGCGGCGUGCUUAACACAUGCAAGUCGAACGGAAAGGCCCCUUUGGGGGUCCUCGAGUGGCGAACGGGUGCGUAACACGUGAGUAACCUGCCCUUGACUUCGGUAUAACUUCAGGUAACUGGGGCUAUUACCUGCUAGGAAUCCUUGCUGCAUGGUGGGGGUUGUAAAGCUUCGGCGGUUUUGGAUGGACUCUCGGCUUAUCUGCUUUUUGGUGGGGUAGUGGCUUACCAAGGCUUUGCCGGGUAGCCGGCCUGGGAGGGCGACAGGCCACAUUGGGACUGAGAUAAGGCCCAGAACCCUAAGGGAGGCAGCAGGGGGGAAUAUUGCACAAUGGGCGGAAGCCUGAUGCAGCAACGCCGCGUGCGGGAUGACGGCCUUCGGGUUGUAAACCGCUUUCAGCAGGGGAGAAGCUUGUGGUGACGGUACCUGCAGAAGAAGCACCGGCUAACUACGUG